AAACAUUACCCUUUUGCACUAUCUCAUCACUAUUGUGGAAAAUAAGUACCCCAGUGUUCUCAAUCUAAAUGAAGAAUUGCGAGAUAUUCCUCAAGCUGCGAAAGUAAACAUGACUGAGCUGGACAAAGAAAUAAGUACCUUGAGAAGUGGCUUGAAAGCAGUAGAGACAGAGCUGGAAUAUCAGAAGUCUCAGCCCCCACAGCCCGGAGAUAAGUUUGUGUCUGUUGUCAGCCAGUUCAUCACAGUAGCCAGCUUCAGCUUCUCUGAUGUUGAAGACCUUCUAGCAGAAGCUAAAGACCUGUUUACUAAAGCAGUGAAGCACUUUGGGGAAGAGGCUGGCAAAAUACAACCAGAUGAGUUCUUUGGCAUUUUUGAUCAAUUUCUUCAAGCUGUGUCAGAAGCCAAACAAGAAAACGAAAA
rnacentral:sRNA from 1 species